UGCCCAGCAACUUCUAUCCCUACCUCCUCGUGGUACUGACCGGGGUACGAGUAACCUUAGGGAAGAUCGGGUAACCAACCCCGGUGGGAGCUUUGGUGACAGGGAAGG
rnacentral:ribozyme from 1 species